rnacentral:rRNA from 1 species
UUAAGUUAUUAAGGGCGCACGGUGGAUGCCUUGGCACUAGAAGCCGAUGAAGGACGUUACUAACGACGAUAUGCUUUGGGGAGCUGUAAGUAAGCUUUGAUCCAGAGAUUUCCGAAUGGGGAAACCCAGCAUGAGUUAUGUCAUGUUAUCGAUAUGUGAAUACAUAGCAUAUCAGAAGGCAUACCCGGAGAACUGAAACAUCUUAGUACCCGGAGGAAGAGAAAGAAAAUUCGAUUCCCUUAGUAGCGGCGAGCGAAACGGGAAGAGCCCAAACCAACAAGCUUGCUUGUUGGGGUUGUAGGACACUCUAUACGGAGUUACAAAGGACGACAUUAGACGAAUCAUCUGGAAAGAUGAAUCAAAGAAGGUAAUAAUCCUGUAGUCGAAAAUGUUGUCUCUCUUGAGUGGAUCCUGAGUACGACGGAGCACGUGAAAUUCCGUCGGAAUCUGGGAGGACCAUCUCCUAAGGCUAAAUACUCUCUAGUGACCGAUAGUGAACCAGUACCGUGAGGGAAAGGUGAAAAGCACCCCGGAAGGGGAGUGAAAUAGAACCUGAAACCGUGUGCUUACAAGUAGUCAGAGCCCGUUAAUGGGUGAUGGCGUGCCUUUUGUAGAAUGAACCGGCGAGUUACGAUUUGAUGCAAGGUUAAGCAGUAAAUGUGGAGCCGUAGCGAAAGCGAGUCUGAAUAGGGCGUUUAGUAUUUGGUCGUAGACCCGAAACCAGGUGAUCUACCCUUGGUCAGGUUGAAGUUCAGGUAACACUGAAUGGAGGACCGAACCGACUUACGUUGAAAAGUGAGCGGAUGAACUGAGGGUAGCGGAGAAAUUCCAAUCGAACCUGGAGAUAGCUGGUUCUCUCCGAAAUAGCUUUAGGGCUAGCCUCAAGUGAUGAUUAUUGGAGGUAGAGCACUGUUUGGACGAGGGGCCCCUCUCGGGUUACCGAAUUCAGACAAACUCCGAAUGCCAAUUAAUUUAACUUGGGAGUCAGAACAUGGGUGAUAAGGUCCGUGUUCGAAAGGGAAACAGCCCAGACCACCAGCUAAGGUCCCAAAAUAUAUGUUAAGUGGAAAAGGAUGUGGCGUUGCCCAGACAACUAGGAUGUUGGCUUAGAAGCAGCCAUCAUUUAAAGAGUGCGUAAUAGCUCACUAGUCGAGUGACACUGCGCCGAAAAUGUACCGGGGCUAAACAUAUUACCGAAGCUGUGGAUUGUCCUUUGGACAAUGGUAGGAGAGCGUUCUAAGGGCGUUGAAGCAUGAUCGUAAGGACAUGUGGAGCGCUUAGAAGUGAGAAUGCCGGUGUGAGUAGCGAAAGACGGGUGAGAAUCCCGUCCACCGAUUGACUAAGGUUUCCAGAGGAAGGCUCGUCCGCUCUGGGUUAGUCGGGUCCUAAGCUGAGGCCGACAGGCGUAGGCGAUGGAUAACAGGUUGAUAUUCCUGUACCACCUAUAAUCGUUUUAAUCGAUGGGGGGACGCAGUAGGAUAGGCGAAGCGUGCGAUUGGAUUGCACGUCUAAGCAGUAAGGCUGAGUAUUAGGCAAAUCCGGUACUCGUUAAGGCUGAGCUGUGAUGGGGAGAAGACAUUGUGUCUUCGAGUCGUUGAUUUCACACUGCCGAGAAAAGCCUCUAGAUAGAAAAUAGGUGCCCGUACCGCAAACCGACACAGGUAGUCAAGAUGAGAAUUCUAAGGUGAGCGAGCGAACUCUCGUUAAGGAACUCGGCAAAAUGACCCCGUAACUUCGGGAGAAGGGGUGCUCUUUAGGGUUAACGCCCAGAAGAGCCGCAGUGAAUAGGCCCAAGCGACUGUUUAUCAAAAACACAGGUCUCUGCUAAACCGUAAGGUGAUGUAUAGGGGCUGACGCCUGCCCGGUGCUGGAAGGUUAAGAGGAGUGGUUAGCUUCUGCGAAGCUACGAAUCGAAGCCCCAGUAAACGGCGGCCGUAACUAUAACGGUCCUAAGGUAGCGAAAUUCCUUGUCGGGUAAGUUCCGACCCGCACGAAAGGCGUAACGAUUUGGGCACUGUCUCAACGAGAGACUCGGUGAAAUCAUAGUACCUGUGAAGAUGCAGGUUACCCGCGACAGGACGGAAAGACCCCGUGGAGCUUUACUGUAGCCUGAUAUUGAAAUUCGGCACAGCUUGUACAGGAUAGGUAGGAGCCUUUGAAACGUGAGCGCUAGCUUACGUGGAGGCGCUGGUGGGAUACUACCCUAGCUGUGUUGGNNNNNNNNNNNNNNNNNNNNNNNNNNNNNNNNNNNNNNNNNNNNNNNNNNNNNNNNNNNNNNNNNNNNNNNNNNNNNNNNNNNUUUCUAACCCGCACCACUUAUCGUGGUGGGAGACAGUGUCAGGCGGGCAGUUUGACUGGGGCGGUCGCCUCCUAAAAGGUAACGGAGGCGCUCAAAGGUUCCCUCAGAAUGGUUGGAAAUCAUUCAUAGAGUGUAAAGGCAUAAGGGAGCUUGACUGCGAGACCUACAAGUCGAGCAGGGUCGAAAGACGGACUUAGUGAUCCGGUGGUUCCGCAUGGAAGGGCCAUCGCUCAACGGAUAAAAGCUACCCCGGGGAUAACAGGCUUAUCUCCCCCAAGAGUUCACAUCGACGGGGAGGUUUGGCACCUCGAUGUCGGCUCAUCGCAUCCUGGGGCUGUAGUCGGUCCCAAGGGUUGGGCUGUUCGCCCAUUAAAGCGGUACGCGAGCUGGGUUCAGAACGUCGUGAGACAGUUCGGUCCCUAUCCGUCGUGGGCGUAGGAAAUUUGAGAGGAGCUGUCCUUAGUACGAGAGGACCGGGAUGGACAUACCUCUGGUGUACCAGUUGUCGUGCCAACGGCAUAGCUGGGUAGCUAUGUGUGGACGGGAUAAGUGCUGAAAGCAUCUAAGCAUGAAGCCCCCCUCAAGAUGAGAUUUCCCAACUUCGGUUAUAAGAUCCCUCAAAGAUGAUGAGGUUAAUAGGUUCGAGGUGGAAGCAUGGUGACAUGUGGAGCUGACGAAUACUAAUCGAUCGAAGACUUAAUCAA